rnacentral:rRNA from 1 species
UACGGAGGGUGCAAGCGUUGUCCGGAAUCACUGGGCGUAAAGGGCGCGUAGGCGGCUCAUGAAGGCUGUGGUGAAAGUCCGGGGCUCAACCUCGGAUCGGCCGUGGCGACUCGUGGGCUGGAGCACUGUAGAGGCGGGUGGAAUUCCGGGUGUAGCGGUGGAAUGCGUAGAGAUCCGGAAGAACACCAGUGGCGAAGGCGGCCCGCUGGGCAGUGGCUGACGCUGAAGCGCGACAGCGUGGGAGCAACAGG